UACGUAGGGUCCGAGCGUUGUCCGGAUUUAUUGGACGUAAAGAGCUCGUAGGCGGUUCCGUAAGUCAGAUGUGAAAACUCAGGGCUCAACCCGGAGACGCCAUCUGAUACUGCGGUGACUGGAGUCUGGUAGGGGAACACGGAAUUCCUGGUGUAGCGGUGAAAUGCGCAGAUAUCAGGAGGAACACCGAUGGCGAAGGCAGUGUUCUGGGCCAGUACUGACGCUGAGGAGCGAAAGCGUGGGGAGCAAACAGG
rnacentral:rRNA from 1 species